rnacentral:rRNA from 1 species
GAUGAACGCUGGCGGCGUGCUUAACACAUGCAAGUCGAACGAUGAAGCCCAGCUUGCUGGGUGGAUUAGUGGCGAACGGGUGAGUAACACGUGAGUAACCUGCCCUUAACUCUGGGAUAAGCCUGGGAAACUGGGUCUAAUACCGGAUAGGAGCGUCCACCGCAUGGUGGGUGUUGGAAAGAUUUAUCGGUUUUGGAUGGACUCGCGGCCUAUCAGCUUGUUGGUGAGGUAAUGGCUCACCAAGGCGACGACGGGUAGCCGGCCUGAGAGGGUGACCGGCCACACUGGGACUGAGACACGGCCCAGACUCCUACGGGAGGCAGCAGUGGGGAAUAUUGCACAAUGGGCGCAAGCCUGAUGCAGCGACGCCGCGUGAGGGAUGACGGCCUUCGGGUUGUAAACCUCUUUCAGUAGGGAAGAAGCGAAAGUGACGGUACCUGCAGAAGUAGCACCGGCUAACUACGUG